GACGAACGCUGGCGGCGUGCUUAACACAUGCAAGUCGAACGGGUCUGCCCUGUUUUUUGCGGGGUGGGUCAGUGGCGAACGGGUGAGUAACACGUGAGUAACCUGCCCCUCACUUCUGGAUAACCGCUUGAAAGGGUGGCUAAUACGGGGUGUUCUGGCUGUGCCGCAUGGUGUGGCUGGGAAGGUUCACUUUUGUGGGGGUUUUGGGGGGGGUGGGCUCGCCGCCUAUCAGCUUGUUGGUGGGGGGAUGGCCUGGCAAGGCUUUGACGGGUAGCCGGGCUGAGAGGGUGGGCGGUCACACUGGGACUGAGAUACGGACCAGACUACUGCGGGAGGCAGCAGUGGGGGGUAUUGCACAAUGGGCGGAAGCCUGAUGCAGCGACGUCGCGUGAGGGAUGGAGGCCUUCGGGUUGUGAACCUCUUUCGCCGGUGAAGAAGGUCCUGCUCUUUGUGGUGGGGUUGACGGUAGCCGGGUUAUGAAGCGCCGGCUAACUACGUG
rnacentral:rRNA from 1 species